AAGACCUUCUACGUCAGGUUCCUGGCUCCUCCUCUCCAGCCAGGAGUCAGCGACAUCUGUUGAGCAUUCCCCCGCCCGGCCCAGGGCAUGCCCCAGUUCACUUUCGCCUGUUUCUGUGGUCUUCACGGCUUCUGCAAGAUGAAGAGGAAGAAGGACGAAGUUCACAGAGAGAGGGAGACAGUGGUGUGAGCAGAACCAGGGCCUCCCUUGUCAGCUCCCCGUGGAUCUGAGCCUGAGGCUGCUGUGGUGCUCAGAGCGUGUGUCUUCCAUCUUUAUUUAACUGGUACCUGACCAACAACCUGAGGACAUCCGCCUUCUUGUGCCCACCCCUAUUAGCUACCAAUCUUUUGUGCUCCUGGAGAGGCCUCAGCUACACAAGGGUUUCCCCAGGAUCUGCCACUUGCCUUCUGGAGACUGGACAGCCUCCCUAGGAUCAAGGAAUGAAACUUUGGGGCUCUUCUCAGGGGACCCCUCCCAUGAAGCUUAUGCAGCCUUGGGAGAGGAAAGCAGUUGCUAAACAGCAAAGUAACUGUUUUUGCAGACUUUGGAGGGUUUGAUGUAUGCGACACCACCAUCAAACACAAGAUGGAGUCUAGGCUGGGGCUCCAGGGUCUUAGCCCUUUCUUUGCAUCCUCUUGGGCCAGGUGGGCCAGGACUGAGAUGGAGGACCGAAUCAGACAUUCGAAGGGUCAGACAGUAGAAGGCUCUUCUGUGUGUCUGGCCCUGACCUACCAGUUUCAUGAAGCCCUCAGUUCUUUGUCAGCACACAGAUGUGGGGAGACCUUUCCUCAGGCACUAAGCCCCUCAGGGACUAUCCCUAGAGCUCGGCCACACCACUGAUCCCAUUUUGUUUACUCACACCCUGCCUCGUUCCCUUCUGUCCUUGGGAAGCUGUUGGCAUAGCGCACCUUCUGAGCACAGGGAAUUCUAGGACUGUCCUAGACUUUCCCCUUCUUCUUCCCAGUUCCGUGUCACCUCCUUCUUCAGGAGCUUGUGGCCAUUUCUAGGAGUUCAGAAGCAAAAGCGUUUCCUUCCUUUCCCUUCCUCCCUCUCUCCUUCCUUCCCUGGCUUUGUCAUUGUGCUUGUGUCUCUUAGGUGCUAGAGGAAGAGGUGGAGAUUAUGAACCAACUCUUAGCAGCAGAGAGCAGCUUCUGGUCUGCUAGCCUGCCGCCCUCCUCACUGGGACAAGCAGUUCUGCACACAAGGGAGAUGUCACAUUCCCACCACCGUCAGGGUCAAAGAUGGAGGAAGGUCUGGACUCAGCGAGAGACUCUGAGCAAACGGGAAAGGGUGUUUCUUGGGCUUUCUGCAGAUUUGCUGGGAUCAAGGUUGUCUUGGUGGAGCCUGAGCUGCUAGCUUCUCUGCUAUUCUCCACUGGCUUUUCGCCUCUGCCUUCCCACCUGAACCACCUACUGUCUGUUAUUUGCUUUUAUAUUCAAAGAUUUAUAAACAAAUCCUUCCCUCAGGGAAAUAGCAAGCUUCUGCAGUAAAGGCCAGUGGAGGUCACAAGAAUAAAGCAAACUUUCCAGAUUCUUUGUCCUCUGAGAUGACGGAGGCCUUGGGUGAGGCAGAAAUGGCAGAAAAGCUUCAGGGGGCUAACUUUGCUACAGAAACCAGAGAUUCCGCCGCCCCCCCCCCCUACUCUCCAGCAUUUCUAACUGCAGGCUGCCUUCAAGGCUGCAAUCAGAGAAGUCUCUCUGGAACUGGAGGGUGAAAUCAUAUCCCUGUCACUAAGAAGCGUCGGGUGUUAUGUCCCAACCACAUAGGCUCACCCAGAGGACAGGUCAGAUAAUGGAGAACUAAGGUCUGGGAGGGGGCAGCAAAGGGCAGCACGCCUGUGCUUACUUCCCAGGCUUUGGCAGGGAGGCCGCCCCAGGGGUUGGCAGGAAGCUGACUCAGGGAGCUGCUUCCCCCACAGGCAUGUCCUUGGUAUGGUAGAGACACUAGAUAUCUUGAGCCCUUGCUAUAGGAACAUGGGAGGUUCAAGGUUUUUUAAGUGUUGGUCCCACCACUGCUUGCAGACCCAAUGUCCUUGCUCCCUUCGUCCAGGGUAAGCUGUGUAGCCACACUGCAGCAGGCCUGGCCUGAGCAGGAGGGAGGAACUGCAGCGUUGUCUUGACUGUUGGAGAUGGGGAUUCUGUUCUCAGCAUCUAGGAAGCAGCUGGAAACCUGUUUUCAGUUCUGCAUCUGGUGGGUUCAGUCAAUUUUGUAUUAUCUGUUUAAAGUCCCUUCCACUCUGCCUGAGGGAAGCCCAGCCCAUGGAUCCUUUUAGGAUCUAUUUCAGUGGCCCUGUACUCUUAGGGUGAGGCAGGUGUGCAUACCUUCCAUUCUUACAGCUUGACACUCAUCCUUAGAGGGUGGAGAUCCUGUUCCAACUUAAACAGGGAUUCCACCUCUUGGGCUACAGAACUAGUCAGUGAGAGUGGUGUAUAGAUGGCUUUUGGGGUCACUGGGACUUGAGUGUCUUCUAAGACUCUGGUCCAGGAUGCCCAAGGGCUUCUUGUCUCAGGUGAAAGAUAGUUAAUCAGAAUGUCAUUUCCUGUCUCUACUCCUAAGGGAGGCAGGCAUUUUGAAUGUAUAGAUCCAUAGAAAUCAAUAGGGAAAUUGCUAUUUUUUUAAGAAGAGAAUCUUAAAAAGCAAUAAUUUAACUGAAGUAGACGUGCAAUGUAAGGAACCCUGAGCCAAGAGCAGGUCUCCUGGGUUCGGGCUGUGCUUGAGUGCCAGUGAUACUGUGACAUUGGAUGAGUCAGGCCUCAUUUCUGGGACUGGUUUCUUCAGCUAUAAAGGGGAUUGCACUGGUCUCCACUGAGGCCAGUUCUUUGUGGAAUGUCAGGCAUCCUAUGCCCCAGAGGAUGUGUUCUGAGUAACAGGCAGAUCUGAAGUGGUAGAAUGUGCGGGGAAGCCUAGAUCAGAGCUUCUACAAUGUUCCUCCAGGGAGGGCUGGGACAUCUUCCCUCCCUCCUGGAUAGACUCAAGGGGGUCGUCUGUAGCUGGCACUGACUUCAGGCCCUGACAGUUGCCGUCUUUGGAGUCUACUAUGGCUCAGUUGCUAAAGAGAUUCAGAAGGGCCUGACUCCUGCUUGGGUUCACUUUGUACAGUGGGCCAUCGCUAAGAUGAUGGAACCAUUCUCCCCCACUCCUCCAAUGGGAUUUGUACAGCGGUGACUGCAUGGGAGGUGGUGCUGUCUGCAUGGGACAGUACAGAUUUCCUCUUCCCCUGUCACUCCACCGGCACUGACUCCGAUUGACCGAAGAAACUGCUUCCUCUUUCCCAAGGAUGGGUCCUACACCUGCCCUCCCUACCCCACGUGAAAGGCACCUUGUGUUGGAUGUAGCCAGACAUGGCCGAAGCUUAGAGAUGGACCCUUGGACCCUUUUUCCCCAACCAAAGAGGCAGGCUUUCACCCAGAAAGGGAGUCUGGACUGCUGCAUCCAAUAGUCUCGUAGCUGCUGCUCCAGGAGGUCCACCAUUCACCCUGAAGGUUGCUGCUGUGCCUGGCAAGUCAUUGAGCUGAGUGCACCUCAGGACCCAGAGGUUCCCUUUCUAGGGAAAAACUGCUGCAUCUUCAGUACACAAGGAAGACCGGUCAUAGCUACCACUUCUGUCACCUGGUCCUGAUGCGAGCCUUCAGCGUGCAAUAUGUGCUGCUAACCAGUCUAACACCAGGAUGCCUGGCUUGUCAGAACAAGUCCCCCAUAACCACUAGAACCCCCAGACCAGCUAGAUUUGGUAGGUACCCACCAUGAAUGCUAGGGUUACUGCACAGGCCCCUUCUCUAGAUUCUUGUGUGAAACCAUUGGCUCCUCAACAAGCAGAAAGGGAAGGCAGGAGAGCAGACCAUCCACAAGUGGAGUGAGCCAGGAGCUGCUCAAAGCAUUUACACCAAAGAAAACAUUUCAGAAGCCAGGGACUCUGUAACUCGAGCCCUGGCAGAAGGAGCCUGGGUCUGAAACCCAAGGGGUUUCCUAGUGGGCUUCUGGUCAGCUCCCUUCCCUGCAGGAGCAAUCUCCUCCCUCAGUCCAUUCCUGCAUUCCCUCUGAGGGGCGGGAGGAAUGCCAGCAGGGGAGAUGGCAGGACCUAGACACAUCCUCAGGACUCUCCCAGCCUCCCUUGCCAUGGCAACGCUGCUAUUUUUAUCCUGUUGUUCAUGAUGCUCAAAGCUCUGACUUUCUCUGUUCCAGAGAGCCCAGCUGCCUUCUGCCCCCAUCCCUUAGCAUAGCACCUUCUCGAAGAGGCAAAGGGAUAAGGAAGAAAGGGGGACACAUUUAAGUCAUUCCUUCACUAGAGGGACCUCUUUGGUUUGCUGGCUUAAAUAACCAGUUUUGUGUUUUCUGAGAGGUCUGAACUAUGAUCGAGUAGGAAGGGCCACUGCUCGGGGUGCCUUCCCAGGGAGCCCUGACAUGCACUUCUGCCUCUUUUGGGAACACCUGAGGUUCUGAGGAAUGUCCUGUUGGCAUAAGCAAUUCAUAAAGUACUCUGCUUGGCUAAUUAGCAGUCAGAUAACUUGAUGUUGCUGUGGAAUCUAAGCUACUUCUCCUCUAUCCCUCUACCAAGAAGCCAGGACAUAUGCGCUUGCAUCUUUGUCCAAUCAUUCUAUCCAAAGCAAGGCAGCAUAUAUAUCAUCCCCAGGCUAGAAAGCAGACUCCCUCCAGUUUAGCCAUAUUCCGUUGAGGUCCCACCUCCAUACGCCUGCAAGGGGCUAAGGAUGAAGCCCAGGGCCACAGAACCACUAGGCAAAUGCUCUCCCACUGAGUUCCAUCUCUAGCCUGGAGCACAUUGUGAUUUUGAAGGCUGCAGUUAGUGAAAGGCAUUCUUUAGCUGUUCUUUCUGCCACCCUUCCAUGGCCCAGCCUUUACCUGUCUUCCUGUGUCCCAACUUCCACUACACUGGCAGGGAAUCCCUGAGAAUCACUGGUGCUAAUGGUCUCCAUCUAUACUCCCCUUUGUUGAUCUGUGGGGUGUGAACUCAGCAUGUGGGGUGGCUGGGCUAUGGGGUACAUUCUAUGUAUAUCCCCAACACCUCUACCCUGGAAGCAGGUCCGGAUCUUAACCCAGCAAAACACCAAUCUACAUCUUGUUAACCUUUGCUUCGGUUGAGUUGGCUCCUGAAUGGUUGUUUUCCUAGGGUGGCUGAGACCCAUUUACUAAGCCUCGUUGGUUUUAUUUUGGCUCUAGCUGCACAGUUUCCGAAAUCUAUGCAUCUGGAGUAAGCAUUUUCUGGUCGCCACUGAAAAGCAUGCUGGCAGAUUCUGCUCUGAUAAUUGCUGUAAUAAACACACUUUAUUAC
rnacentral:lncRNA from 1 species